AUGGAAUUAGUUCGCCAAGCAAACUACGUUUCCCGAUCGGUUAAGCGGAUUUUUGUCAUUUCAAUAACAUUUAUCCUCUUUGUAGGUUUUUAUCAGGCAACAUGGCCAACUCCUAAUUUUCCAUCAUUGACUCAGACAUUGAGUCUCAUCAAUAGUUCUACGAAAACGAUUUUAAUUUGGAACCCAUACUCACGUUUUGAGCUGGAGGUUUUCGGAGAAGGAGCCGAUACUUUCACUAGUCAUCAUUGCCCGAUAAAUAAUUGUUUCAUUACGAAAAACCGAACUUGGGCUCCCCUACACCAAUUUGACAGUAUAAUAUUUAAUAUGCCACCGCUCUCUCUUUACAAGUUUCCAGUAGACGAACACAGACGACCGGAACAGCGUUACAUUUUCUUUUCCCAAGAGCCACCAACCUACAUCGGUGAGGAAGUUAAACUUUUUAAUCGUCGAUUUAAUUGGACAAUGUCGUACGCAACUCACGCGGAUAUUCGCUAUCACUAUGGUGAAAUAAUCCCUUUGCCAUCUGCCCCGGCUACACACCACACUCGUAAAGCAUAUAUACAAUCGACCAAGAAUGGUGAGAAUUUUGCGGCUGGCAAAACAAAAUUGGUUGCGUGGUUUGUUUCGCACUGCUUCACACAAAGUCGCCGAGAAAAAUACGUCACCAUCAUGCGCCAAUACAUCCCAGUGGAUAUCUAUGGCGGUUGCUAUUCGCUUCGUUGCCCAAUGAACGAAAGUGCCUUUUUGUCUACUGAGCCAUGUUACGACUUGCUUGAUAGCAGCUACAAGUUCUACCUCGCCUUUGAAAAUUCUUUCUGUAACGAUUAUGUAACUGAAAAGUUUUUCGACGUCCUACAACGUCGAAUCAUCCCAAUUGUAAUGGGAGGAGCGAAUUACUCAGCCAUCGCACCACCUCAUUCGUACAUUGACGCAUUACAGUAUAGUCCUCGAGAAUUAGCCGAAUACCUCAAGCUGUUGGCCUCUGACGACAAAUUAUACAACGAAUAUUUUUGGUGGAAACCUCAUUUUCAAGUAGUAAAGAGAUACCCUUUUCUGGCUGCAAAUGCCCUGUGUUCGUUAUGUGACAAAUUACAUCACAACAAAACUGAAUCCAUCUAUCACGACCUGGCAGCAGGAUGGAGCCAGAAAACCCAGUGUAAAAGCCCUCGUUUCAAAGGUGUUCGGAUUUUCUGGGGAAUCUUUUAAAAUUUAAUUUGCAACGUCACAUUUUGUUAAGUUCCAUAUUAUUUUUAACUGAUUUAAACAGUAUAAACGUUAAAUUCCGCGUCAGUUAAAUCUUCUUCGUUUUUCGUGGAUCCUCGGGCUAUAACUAUAUUUAAUGGGGUUGUUGACCGUGCCGCAAGUGUAAUAGUAAUGUGAUUUUCGCUAGCCUCCCAUUCGUUGAAAGAACUUCAUGAAGUUUAGACGCGUAGCGAUGUAAAGAUUCUGUAUGUUUCUCUUUUAAUCCCAUAGUUUUCAAAUGGUAAAAUGGAAAUUUGUAGCAGACCUCGGAAAAUUCAAAUUCCUUUGGUGACCCUGGCAGUGUUCUCCUUUUAUUUGGUAUCGAUGUGGCAUUUUGAAAAGAUUGGCUCAAAUCUGGUUUCCCGUACUGAUGUGGAAUCAAUGCAAGUUUUCCCUCCCGAUUCGCAAGCACUUUCUUAUCUCUCCCCUUGUCCUUGCUCGAGGAAUAAUACGUCAAUACGCCAAGAAAAAGUUGACUAUACAUGGUGCAAUGGGGAAGCUGUUCAACGAGGGCCAAACCAAAACAUUGUUUCUUUUUCUCUCUUUGGAAAUGCUGACAAGGACGGGAUGAGGUAUUUCUCGUUUGUUCGUGAAAACGCUAUUAAAAUCAAACAACUACUUCCAGGGUGGAUCAUGAGACUACAUCACAAUACAGAAGUAGAUACAAAGGAACGCAAGAUAUUAUGUGAUGUAUAUUGUGAUUACCCGUGGGUUGAUUUGUGCGACGUAGGUAGUCUUUGGAGAAGGCUUUCUAAGCGAAAGAAAAAAAAUCCUGAUUUCCGACCAGUAACCGGAGAACAGGUUUCCAAUGUCAAUCGACGAAUUUGGAGAUUUCUACCGUUGUUGGACCCGCUUGCUGAUGUAGUACUUACCAGAGAUUUAGACGCUACAGUGUCUAAUCGAGAAGUAGCCGCAAUUCAGCAAUGGAUUCAACUCAAUUACACCUUUCACUUGAUGAGGGAUCACCAGGCUCAUAAAGCCCGCAUCCUUGCUGGUAUGUUCGGAGUCAAAGUAUAUCAACGAAGGGACCUUGUAGAAGGCCUGACGCGAGUUUUGAUAAAUUUUGGACACAACCAAAAAUAUGAUACGGAUCAAAUUCUCCUCUCUAAAAUUUUCUGGCCCUCUGUUAAGCACGAUGUGGUGGCUCACGAUAGCUAUAACUGUAUGGAGAAUUGGAAUGCGUUGCCUACUUAUCCUUUUCCCACCAAACGAGAGAACAACUCCUUCGUGUCAGAUAACUUUCAAGGCCGCUGGAUUGCCCCAGAGAAAUGCCCCCUAGCUUGUCGACCAGUCGACCAUCAAGACUGGGAAUAUUGUUAAUUGAUAAGAAACAGAUCACGUAGUCUUAUGUUGUCACAAAUUUCUCACGCACGCAUGUUUUAAAUAACGCGGCUCUAGCAACGAUGUAUUACGCUUGAUCUAGUCUAUUCUGGGAAUUUCUUUUAAUUUGAAUUGUAGUUUGAUUACCGCUGAUUACCAAACCUGAUUUAACUUUCGCUGACUUCUAAAUAAAUUUAAUUGUUUCGCGCUGCA